rnacentral:rRNA from 1 species
AGAUUGAACGCUGGCGGCAUGCCUUACACGUGCAAGUCGAACGGCAGCACGGGGGCAACCCUGGUGGCGAGUGGCGAACGGGUGAGUAAUGCAUCGGAACGUGCCCAGUAGUGGGGGAUAACUAGUCGAAAGAUUAGCUAAUACCGCAUACGACCUAUGGGUGAAAGCGGGGGAUUCGCAAGAACCUCGCGCUAUCGGAGCGGCCGAUGUCUGAUUAGCUAGUUGGCGGGUAAAAGCCCACCAAGGCUUCGAUCAGUAGCUGGUCUGAGAGGACGACCAGCCACACUGGGACUGAGACACGGCCCAGACUCCUACGGAGGCAGCAGUGGGGAAUUUUGGACAAUGGGCGCAAGCCUGAUCCAGCCAUGCCGCGUGCGGGAAGAAGGCCUUCGGUGUAAACCGCUUUUGGCAGGAACGAAACGGCGCGAGCAAAUAUCUCGCGUUAAUGACGGUACCUGCAGAAUAAGCAACCGCUAACUACGUGCCAGCAG